UGGAACGAUACAGAGAAGAUUAGCAUG
rnacentral:piRNA from 7 species